GUGCCCUGCGGCGAAGAAGGGGUUUUAUAGGUCCAAUUAGAUAUUCCUAACUCGGCUCCCUUUCCCAUUGUGUUUAUGAUGGAGGUGAUCAGAACGUGGCCAAUUAACAGCGCGAAAAUGAAGUUUUUAACAAGUGAGCGUGCGAGAAAGUUCCAGGAGGAUUCAUGGUUCACAGAAAAAAAAA